AAUUUUCGGCAAUGGGGGCAACCCUGUCCGAGCGACGCAGCGUGAGUGAAGAAGGUCUUCGGAUUGAAAAGCUCUGUUGUAAGGGAAGAACCGUAGCAGUAGGGAAUGACUGGUACCUGUCGGUAACUUACCAGCAAGCCACGGCUAACUACGUGCCAGCAGCCGCGGUAAUACGUAGGUGGCAAGCGUUAUCCGGAAUUAUUGGGCGUAAAGGGAGCGCAGGCGGCUUAUUAAGUCUGAGGUUAAAGUUCGGGGCUCAACCCCGUGAUGUCUUAGAAACUGGUAGGCUAGAGUGCAGGAGAGGUGAGUGGAUUUCCAUGUGUAGCGGUAAAAUGCGUAGAUAUAUGGAGGAACACCAGUGGCGAAGGCGGCUCACUGGCCUGUAACUGACGCUGAGGCUCGAAAGCGUGGGGAUCAAAUA
rnacentral:rRNA from 1 species